rnacentral:lncRNA from 1 species
GCAACGGCGUUGCUUCGUCCGCUUGACCUCUCGGUCGAGGGUCACUACGGUUCUAACACGAAGGCGAGGAUCUCGACGAGUAGACUUACAAGAGUCCUAACGGAAAGGUAUGGUUUCACGAUCAAGACGCGAAGAAUAGAAUGUACACUACUGAGUUCGCGGAGUAGGUCUAGUUUGCGAGAUACAGGACUGAUUCUGGUAAGAAUCUCGGAGGUCCUGUAUAUCUUGGAUUUAGCUUUCGACGCUUUACGAAGCGUAUUAAGCCGUUCCCGAGUGAGACUUCCUAAAGAAUUUGGUCUUUCACUUCGAAUCUCCAAAGUUUCCUUUUCUUGUUUAACUUCCCAGUCAAGGGCCACUCCUUGAUGGGUCAAGGUCGUAAAGGUUUCUGUACUUUGUGAGGGGUUCUGAAUGAACUAAGACAGUAGGUCUGUAAGACCUAGAAUUUGGCGAAUUUCUGUCGGCUUCUCUGGUGUCGACAAAUUCUCAACGGUUUUGACAAAUUGCAAGAGUACUCAAAAUUUCC